rnacentral:rRNA from 1 species
GACGAACGCUGGCGGCGUGCUUAACACAUGCAAGUCGAACGGAAAGGCCCUGCUUUUGUGGGGUGCUCGAGUGGCGAACGGGUGAGUAACACGUGAGUAACCUGCCCUUGACUUUGGGAUAACUUCAGGAAACUGGGGCUAAUACCGGAUAGGAGCUCCUGCUGCAUGGUGGGGGUUGGAAAGUUUCGGCGGUUGGGGAUGGACUCGCGGCUUAUCAGCUUGUUGGUGGGGUAGUGGCUUACCAAGGCUUUGGCGGGUAGCCGGCCUGAGAGGGUGACCGGCGACAUUGGGCCUGAGAUACGGCCCAGACUCCUCCGGGAGGCAGCAGUGGGGAAUAUUGCACAAUGGGCGGAAGCCUGAUGCAGAAACGCCGCGUGCGGGAUGACGGCCUUCGGGUUGUAAACCGCUUUCGCCUGUGACGCAGCGUGAGUGACGGUAAUGGGUAAAGAAGCACCGGCUAACUACGUG